UACGAAGGGUGCAAGCGUUACUCGGAAUUACUGGGCGUAAAGCGUGCGUAGGUGGUGAGUUAAGUCUGUCGUGAAAGCCCCGGGCUCAACCUGGGGAUGGCGAUGGAUACUGGCUCGCUAGAGUGCGGUAGAGGAGAGUGGAAUUCCCGGUGUAGCAGUGAAAUGCGUAGAGAUCGGGAGGAACAUCAGUUGCGAAGGCGGCUCUCUGGACCAGCACUGACACUGAGGCACGAAAGCGUGGGGAGCAAACGGG
rnacentral:rRNA from 1 species